rnacentral:rRNA from 1 species
AGGUCUCAAGCGUUGUUCGGAUUCAUUGGGCGUAAAGGGUGCGUAGGUGGCGUCGUAAGUCAGGUGUGAAAUCUCGGGGCUCAACCCCGAAACUGCACUUGAUACUGCGAUGCUCGAGUACUGGAGAGGAGAUUGGAAUUUACGGUGUAGCAGUGAAAUGCGUAGAUAUCGUAAGGAAGACCAGUGGCGAAGGCGAAUCUCUGGACAGUUACUGACACUGAGGCACGAAGGCCAGGGGAGCAAACGGG